CCUACGGGUGGCAGCAGUGAGGAAUAUUGGUCAAUGGGCGCUAGCCUGAACCAGCCAAGUAGCGUGAAGGAUGACUGCCCUAUGGGUUGUAAACUUCUUUUAUAUGGGAAUAAAAUGCAGUAUGUAUACUGCUUUGCAUGUACCUUAUGAAUAAGGAUCGGCUAACUCCGUGCCAGCAGCCGCGGUAAUACGGAGGAUUCGAGCGUUAUCCGGAUUUAUUGGGUUUAAAGGGAGCGUAGGCGGGUUGUUAAGUCAGUUGUGAAAGUUUGCGGCUCAACCGUAAAAUUGCAGUUGAUACUGGUAUCCUAGAGAGCAGUAGAGGUAGGCGGAAUGCGUGGUGUAGCGGUGAAAUGCAUAGAUAUCACGCAGAACUCCGAUUGCGAAGGCAGCAUACCGGCGCGCAACUGACGCUCAGGCACGAAAGCGUGGGUAGCGAACAGGAUUAGAUACCCGAGUAGUC
rnacentral:rRNA from 1 species